AUUGAACGCUGGCGGCAUGCCUUACACAUGCAAGUCGAACGGCAGCACGGGAGCAAUCCUGGUGGCGAGUGGCGAACGGGUGAGUAAUACAUCGGAACGUGCCCAGUCGUGGGGGAUAACGUAGCGAAAGCUACGCUAAUACCGCAUACGAUCUGUGGAUGAAAGCGGGGGACCGUAAGGCCUCGCGCGAUUGGAGCGGCCGAUGUCAGAUUAGGUAGUUGGUGGGGUAAAGGCCCACCAAGCCGACGAUCUGUAGCUGGUCUGAGAGGACGACCAGCCACACUGGGACUGAGACACGGCCCAGACUCCUACGGGAGGCAGCAGUGGGGAAUAUUGGACAAUGGGCGAAAGCCUGAUCCAGCAAUGCCGCGUGAGUGAUGAAGGCCUUAGGGUUGUAAAGCUCUUUUACCCGGGAUGAUAAUGACAGUACCGGGAGAAUAAGCCCCGGCUAACUCCGUGCCAGCAGCCGCGGUAAU
rnacentral:rRNA from 1 species